UNUGGAAAUCCCUGGUGCCUUUGGUCUUU
rnacentral:piRNA from 1 species